rnacentral:misc_RNA from 1 species
GUCGAUGGUUCUGCUGCUCAUCGCCAAGGCGGCGACACUGUUUGUUCCCUUCACAUUUAAGUGGGCCGUCGAUGCACUGACCGGCGCCGACACCGCGCCGGUCCAGUCGUCGAACUGGCUGUGGCUGAUCGCGUCGCCGCUCAUUAUGACGCUCAGCUAUGGCGCCAUCCGCAUCGUCAUGAUGGUGCUGACGCAGUGGCGUGACGGUCUGUUCGCCAAGGUGGCGAUGC